AAGAGUGAAGCAAAAAUUGCAAUCAGUUUCGACCUGAACUUAGGAAAACCCCCUCUCUUA
rnacentral:tRNA from 1 species